GGCGGGACACGUGGUAUCCUGUCUGAAUAUGGGGGGACCAUCCUCCAAGGCUAAAUACUCCUGACUGACCGAUAGUGAACCAGUACCGUGAGGGAAAGGCGAAAAGAACCCCGGCGAGGGGAGUGAAAAAGAACCUGAAACCGUGUACGUACAAGCAGUGGGAGCCCCACCACUAAGCCAGUGGUGAACUCCACAUCCGCAUCCUUUGCUGAGGAUACGGUUAACGGAGCGAAAGCGACGUUCAACCGCAAAACAAGCAGAGGGGGCUUAGUGGUGGGGUGACUGCGUACCUUUUGUAUAAUGGGUCAGCGACUUAUAUUCUGUAGCAAGGUUAACCGAAUAGGGGAGCCGGAGGGAAACCGAGUCUUAAUUGGGCGUUAAGUUGCAGGGUAUAGACCCGAAACCCGGUGAUCUAGCCAUGGGCAGGUUGAAGGUUGGGUAACACUAACUGGAGGACCGAACCGACUAAUGUUGAAAAAUUAGCGGAUGACCUGUGGCUGGGGGUGAAAGGCCAAUCAAACCGGGAGAUAGCUGGUUCUCCCCGAAAGCUAUUUAGGUAGCGCCUCGUGAAUUCAUCUCCGGGGGUAGAGCACUGUUUCGGCUAGGGGGCCAUCCCGGCUUACCAACCCGAUGCAAACUGCGAAUACCGGAGAAUGUUAUCACGGGAGACACACGGCGGGUGCUAACGUCCGUCGUGAAGAGGGAAACAACCCAGACCGCCAGCUAAGGUCCCAAAGUCAUGGUUAAGUGGGAAACGAUGUGGGAAGGCCCAGACAGCCAGGAUGUUGGCUUAGAAGCAGCCAUCAUUUAAAGAAAGCGUAAUAGCUCACUGGUCGAGUCGGCCUGCGCGGAAGAUGUAACGGGGCUAAACCAUGCACCGAAGCUGCGGCAGCGAACGUAUCACCCAAGACAACUUUACGGAGUUGACGAUUGACGGAGCGAAGCGACGUCAAAGCGUUCAUUAAAGUCGAGUUGGCUUAGGGAUACGUUCGUUGGGUAGGGGAGCGUUCUGUAAGCCUGUGAAGGUGUGUCGUGAGGCAUGCUGGAGGUAUCAGAAGUGCGAAUGCUGACAUAAGUAACGAUAAAGCGGGUGAAAAGCCCGCUCGCCGGAAGACCAAGGGUUCCUGUCCAACGUUAAUCGGGGCAGGGUGAGUCGACCCCUAAGGCGAGGCCGAAAGGCGUAGUCGAUGGGAAACGGGUUAAUAUUCCCGUACUUGGUGUUACUGCGAAGGGGGGACGGAGAAGGCUAUGUUGGCCGGGCGACGGUUGUCCCGGUUUAAGCGUGUAGGUGUGUGUUCCAGGUAAAUCCGGUUCACUUUAACACUGAGGCGUGACGACGAGGCACUACGG
rnacentral:rRNA from 1 species